rnacentral:rRNA from 1 species
CCUACGGGAGGCAGCAGUGGGGAAUAUUGCACAAUGGGGGAAACCCUGAUGCAGCGACGCCGCGUGAGUGAAGAAGUAUUUCGGUAUGUAAAGCUCUAUCAGCAGGGACGAGACAAGACGGUACCUGACUAAGAAGCCCCGGCUAACUACGUGCCAGCAGCCGCGGUAAUCCGUAGGGGGCAAGCGUUAUCCGGAAUCACUGGGUGUAAAGGGGGCGUAGACGGCUGUGCAAGCCUGAAGGGAAAGGCGGGGGCCCAACCCCCGGACUGCUUUGGGAACUGUACGGCUGGAGUGCAGGAGAGGUAAGUGGAAUUCCUAGUGUAGCGGUGAAAUGCGUAGAUAUUAGGAGGAACACCAGUGGCGAAGGCGGCUUACUGGACUGUAACUGACGUUGAGGCUCGAAAGCGUGGGGAGCAAACAGGAUUAGAUACCCGAGUAGUC